rnacentral:lncRNA from 1 species
CCCCCACUUGCAUGUAAAGUUAUAAAGGGACAUAACUGAAGAACAGUAAAAGUGAGGCUAGACAAAUUUGUACUUUAUAUGAGUAUUGUAGUAAUAAACGCUGUGAAUGAAUUUCAUAACAUUCAGUGGAAAUAACUUAUAUGGGUAGUUGGUUGAAAAUUUUGGCCAUGGGCAUCAUGACUAAUUUUUAGAUCAAAUUUUGCUGAAAUUCAGAAAACUGGUGAUUUUUUGAUUUUUUACUAUUUCUCUCAAUCUAUUAUACCAGUAGUUUGUGCAAAGCUUCAAAAAUAGGAAAGAGGAGAAGAUUCUUU